GACGAACGCUGGCGGCGCGCCUAACACAUGCAAGUCGAACGAGCGAGCGAGAGCUUGCUUUCUCAAGCGAGUGGCGAACGGGUGAGUAACGCGUGAGGAACCUGCCUCAAAGAGGGGGACAACAGUUGGAAACGACUGCUAAUACCGCAUAAGCCCACGACCCGGCAUCGGGUAGAGGGAAAAGGAGCAAUCCGCUUUGAGAUGGCCUCGCGUCCGAUUAGCUAGUUGGUGAGGUAACGGCCCACCAAGGCGACGAUCGGUAGCCGGACUGAGAGGUUGAACGGCCACAUUGGGACUGAGACACGGCCCAGACUCCUACGGGAGGCAGCAGUGGGGAAUAUUGCACAAUGGGGGAAACCCUGAUGCAGCGACGCCGCGUGGAGGAAGAAGGUCUUCGGAUUGUAAACUCCUGUUGUUGAGGAAGAUAAUGACGGUACUCAACAAGGAAGUGACGGCCAACUACGUG
rnacentral:rRNA from 1 species